rnacentral:rRNA from 1 species
CAAUAGCGUAUAUUAAAAUUGUUGCGGUUAAAACGCUCGUAGUUGGAUAUCUGUCUGGAAGUUUUCGGUGGGGCCCAAGUGUCUCGACACGGAACUUUUCCGGACAUUUGUUCAGUCAAGGUGGAUGCCCUUCGUUGGGUGACCAUCAUUGCUGAAUUUUUACUUUUGAGGAAAUGAGAGUGUUCCAAGCAGGCAUUUGCCGUGAAUAUGAUAGCAUGGAAUAAUAGCAUCGGUCCUGGUGCCAGAGCUGUUGGUUUUUGGUUGCCGGGAAAGCAUAAUAAGGAUAGUUGGGGGUAGUUCGUAUUUAACUGUCAGAGGUGAAAUUCUUGGAUUUUUUAAAGUACGAACUACUGCGAAGGCAUCUACCCAGGAUGUUUUUGUUUGAUCAA